rnacentral:rRNA from 1 species
CGCGGCCUAUCAGCUUGUUGGUGGGGUGAUGGCCUACCAAGGCGACGACGGGUAGCCGGCCUGAGAGGGUGUCCGGCCACACUGGGACUGAGAUACGGCCCAGACUCCUACGGGAGGCAGCAGUGGGGAAUAUUGCACAAUGGGCGCAAGCCUGAUGCAGCGACGCCGCGUGGGGGAUGACGGCCUUCGGGUUGUAAACCUCUUUCAGUACCGACGAAGCGUGAGUGACGGUAGGUACAGAAGAAGCACCGGCCAACUACGUGCCAGCAGCCGCGGUAAUACGUAGGGUGCGAGCGUUGUCCGGAAUUACUGGGCGUAAAGAGCUCGUAGGUGGUUCGUCGCGUUGUUCGUGAAAACCUGAGGCUUAACCUUGGGCGUGCGGGCGAUACGGGCAGACUGGAGUACUGCAGGGGAGACUGGAAUUCCUGGUGUAGCGGUGGAAUGCGCAGAUAUCAGGAGGAACACUGGUGGCGAAGGCGGGUCUCUGGGCAGUAACUGACGCUGAGGAGCGAAAGCGUGGGGAGCGAACAGGAUUAGAUACCCUGGUAGUCCACGCCGUAAACGGUGGGUACUAGGUGUGGGUUUCCUUCCUUGGGAUCCGUGCCGUAGCUAACGCAUUAAGUACCCCGCCUGGGGAGUACGG